rnacentral:rRNA from 1 species
AUGGGUAGGGGAGCUUCCCAUACGGGUUGAAGCAUGACCGUAAGGACAUGUGGACAGUAUGGGAGUGAGAAUGUUGGCAUGAGUAGCGAGAUGUGGGUGAGAAUCCCACAGGCCGUAAACCCAAGGUUUCCAGGGGAAGGUUCGUCCGCCCUGGGUUAGUCGGGACCUAAGCUGAGGCCGAAAGGCGUAGGUGAUGGACAACAGGUUGAUAUUCCUGUACUACCGAUAACCGUUUGAGAGAAGGGAUGACACAGUAGGAUAAGCUAAGCACACUGUUGGUUAUGUGUGCCCAAGCAUUGAGGCAGUCAAAGUAGGCAAAUCCGCUUUGAUAAUGCUGGGAUGUGAUGGGGAGCGAAAUUUAGUAGCGAAGUAGCUGAUUUCACACUGUCAAGAAAAGUCUCUAUCGAGGUUAAAGGUACCCGUACCGCAAACCGACACAGGUGGGUGAGGAGAGUAUCCUAAGGCCAGCGAGAGAACUGUUGUUAAGGAACUCGGCAAAAUGACCCCGUAACUUAGGGAUAAGGGGUGCCACCAUCAGGUGGCCGCAGAGAAUAGGCCCAAGCGACUGUUUACCAAAAACAUAGGUUUCUGCUAAGUCGCAAGACGAUGUAUAGGAGCUGACGCCUGCCCGGUGCUGGAAGGUUAAGGGGAUCUGUUAGAGCAAUCGAAGCAGUGAACUUAAGCCCCAGUAAACGGCGGCCGUAACUAUAACGGUCCUAAGGUAGCGAAAUUCCUUGUCGGGUAAGUUCCGACCCGCACGAAAGGCGUAACGAUUUGGGCACUGUCUCAACAACAGACUCGGUGAAAUUGUAAUUCCGGUGAAGAUGCCGGAUACCUGCGACAGGACGGAAAGACCCCAUGGAGCUUUACUGUAGCUUGACAUUGGGUCUUGGUACUACAUGUACAGGAUAGGU